CUGAACAGGCACCACAGUGUGCUCUCAAAUCCUCAAUGAACAGUAAGCACUUGGACUUUGAACUGGGUUCAAAUAAUGAUUAACAGUGUCACGAUAUGCACUGAUUCUCUAUGGCAGGGGGCAGCAUCUACUGUAGCGCACCAUGUAAAUACAUCGCCUCACAGGGACACAAACAGCAUUUCUCACUGAUUAACUGCAGAUACACAUGACAAGGGUGGGGCUAUGCAGC